ACCCCUAUGUACACCGUCCCGGAAUGCUUUCAUGACGGGGGUGUAUCCUUUCAAAGCUGGACUUCAGCAUGGAGCUCUGAUGGCUCAGCAAGCAGUGUGUUCGCCCUUCAAUAAACCUUUCCUCCCCCAAUACCUAAAGAAACUGGGAUAUGAAA